AGGCGCUUGCCAGCUUUAUCCGCAUUGCAAUCAAUGAGGCAGGCUAAAGCUCGGCUAACGCCUCU
rnacentral:pre_miRNA from 1 species